AAAAGUCUUUGAAGUGAGUAAUGGCUCCUCACUCUCUGGAGGGGCCAUCACUGGCAUUGUGUUUGGAAUCCUAAUUGGAGCUACUCUCUUUGGGGUCUUCAUCUAUUUCUACUUCUUCAGGGACAGGGCCAUCAAAUACCAGGUUCAGAGAAGAACCAUUCAGCACGCAAACAUGGUGAGGACAUCACCCUAUAUGAAAACAAUAUUUGCCUACAAGGUUCACUUCUGCCUGCACAGGACCUGGGCUCCUCUCCUGCUUUUCCUGAAGUCCCACUUGAGAGUUCCUAUCAGAUACAAGAAAAAAAACCACUGGAUAAAAUUCAGCACCCAUUUUUAUUAAAAAAACACUAGAGAAUAUAUACAUCAUCAGUUUCCUUAAAAUGAUCAGUUGCGAAUGGAUGUCCAUCAAUUGGAGAAUGGCUGAAUAAACUGUAUAUGAAUAUUAUGGAAUAUUACUGUUCUGUAAGAAAUGACCAACAGGAUGAUUUCAGAAAGGCCUGGAGAGACUUACACGAACUGAUGCUGAGUGAAAUGAGCAGGACCAGGAGAUCAUUAUAUACUUCAACAACAAUACUAUAUGAUGACCACUUCUGAUGGACCUGGCCAUCCUCAGCAACGAGAUCAACCAAAUCAUUUCCAAUGGAGCAGUAAUGAACUGAACCAAGUAUGCCCAGAGAAAGAACUUUGGGAGAUAACUAAAAACCAUUACAUUGAAUUCCCAAUCCCUAUAUUUAUGCCCACCUGCAUUUUUGAUUUCCUUCACAAGCUAAUUGUACAAUAUUUCAGAGUCUGAUUCUUUUUAUACAGCAAAAUAA
rnacentral:lncRNA from 1 species